rnacentral:rRNA from 1 species
AACGAACGCUGGCGGCAGGCCUAACACAUGCAAGUCGAGCGAGACCUUCGGGUCUAGCGGCGGACGGGUUAGUAACGCGUGGGAACGUGCCCUUCUCUGCGGAAUAGCACUGGAAACGGUGAGUAAUACCGCAUACGCCCUUCGGGGGAAAGAUUUAUCGGAGAAGGAUCGGCCGCGUUAGAUUAGAUAGUUGGUGGGUAACGGCCUACCAAGUCUACGAUCUAUAGCUGGUUUUAGAGGAUGAUCAGCAACACUGGGACUGAGACACGGCCCAGACUCCUACGGGAGGCAGCAGUGGGAAUCUUAGACAAUGGGCGCAAGCCUGAUCUAGCCAUGCCGCGUGUGUGAUGAAGGUCUUAGGAUCGUAAAGCUACUUUCGCCAGGGAUGAUAAUGACAGUACCUGGUAAAGAAACCCCGGCUAACUCCGUG